rnacentral:tRNA from 1 species
UCCGGAGUAGCUCAAUGGUAGAGCGGGUGGCUGUUAACCACUAGGUUGGGGGUUCGAGUCCCUCCUCCGGAG